GACGAACGCUGGCGGCGUGCUUAACACAUGCAAGUCGAACGGAAAGGCCCUGCUUUUGUGGGGUGCUCGAGUGGCGAACGGGUGAGUAACACGUGAGUAACCUGCCCUUGACUUUGGGAUAACUUCAGGAAACUGGGGCUAAUACCGGAUAGGAGCUCCUGCUGCAUGGUGGGGGUUGGAAAGUUUCGGCGGUUGGGGAUGGACUCGCGGCUUAUCAGCUUGUUGGUGGGGUAGUGGCUUACCAAGGCUUUGACGGGUAGCCGGCCUGAGAGGGUGACCGGCCACAUUGGGACUGAGAUACGGCCCAGACUCCUACGGGAGGCAGCAGUGGGGAGUAUUGCACAAUGGUCGGAAGCCUGAUGCAGCAACGCCGCGUGCGGGAUGACGGCCUUCGGGUUGUAAACCGCUUUCGCCUGUGACGAAGCGUGAGUGACGGUAAUGGGUAAAGAAGCACCGGCUAACUACGUG
rnacentral:rRNA from 1 species